CAACGUGGUUGCUAUAUAGAUCUUGCCAAUCAGAACGCGAGGUCGAUUGUCCGCCAUUACUUCUGUCAACUUGUCGGACCCCAGUUGAACACCGCGAGAAUACAUAUGUAAAGAGAAAAUGGUGAAAACGUGCUCGUGGGGAACUGACAACAGUUACGGCCGAUACCCUGAUAGAUUGGAGGGCGGUGUUGUAUAUUCUACAAUUCAUGGAACCUAAAACAUACAGCUUUGGAAGUUUUGUCAGCCGCAGCUGAAA